UGAACGCUGGCGGCAGGCCUAACACAUGCAAGUCGACCGGUAACAGGAAACAGCUUGCUGUUUCGCUGACGAGUGGCGGACGGGUGAGUAAUGUCUGGGAAACUGCCUGAUGGAGGGGGAUAACUACUGGAAACGGUAGCUAAUACCGCAUAACGUCGCAAGACCAAAGAGGGGGACCUUCGGGCCUCUUGCCCUCGGAUGUGCCCAGAUGGGAUUAGCUAGUAGGUGGGGUAACGGCUCACCUAGGCGACGAUCCCUAGCUGGUCUGAGAGGAUGACCAGCCACACUGGAACUGAGACACGGUCCAGACUCCUACGGGAGGCAGCAGUGGGGAAUAUUGCACAAUGGGCGCAAGCCUGAUGCAGCCAUGCCGCGUGUAUGAAGAAGGCCUUCGGGUUGUAAAGUACUUUCAGCGGGGAUGAAGGGAGUAAAGUUAAUACCUUUGCUCAUUGACGUUACCCGCAGAAGAAGCACCGGCUAACUCCGUG
rnacentral:rRNA from 1 species